AGGUAUUGUGAGUGAUGGAACAUGUCAAAAGUGGUUUGUGAAGUUUCAUGCUAGAGAUUUCUCGCUGGACAAUGCCCCACAUCUGGGUAGACCAGAUGAAGUUGAUAGCAAUAAAAUUGAGACAUAAAUUGAGAACAAUCAAUGUUAUACAAGGUGGGAGAUAACUGGCAUACUGAAAAUAUCCAAAUCAAUAAAGUUAUUAGUGAAAAUUAAAAAUGUAUUUUUUAUUUUAUG